rnacentral:rRNA from 1 species
GGAAUAUUGGACAAUGGGCGCAAGCCUGAUCCAGCCAUGCCGCGUGCAGGAUGACGGUCCUAUGGAUUGUAAACUGCUUUUAUACGAGAAGAAACACUGCUACGUGUAGCAGCUUGACGGUAUCGUAAGAAUAAGGAUCGGCUAACUCCGUGCCAGCAGCCGCGGUAAUACGGAGGAUCCAAGCGUUAUCCGGAAUCAUUGGGUUUAAAGGGUCCGUAGGCGGUUUAAUAAGUCAGUGGUGAAAGCCCAUCGCUCAACGGUGGAACGGCCAUUGAUACUGUUAGACUUGAAUUAUUAGGAAGUAACUAGAAUAUGUAGUGUAGCGGUGAAAUGCUUAGAGAUUACAUGGAAUACCAAUUGCGAAGGCAGGUUACUACUAAUUGAUUGACGCUGAUGGACGAAAGCGUGGGUAGCGAACAGGAUUAGAUACCCCAG